GCAUAUGGAGAAUGCCUUGACUCGUAUGAGCGAUGAAGGACGUAGCAGGCUGCGAUAAGCCUCGGGGAGCUGCCAAGCAAGCUUUGAUCCGUGGAUUUCCGAAUGGGGAAACCCUCCUGUUUUUUAGCAGGAAUUAUUAUUUGAAUUCAUAGAAUAAUAAAGUCAACCUAGUGAACUGAAACAUCUUAGUAGCUAGAGGAAUAUAAAUCAAUAGAGAUUCCGUCAGUAGUGGCGAGCGAAAGCGGAACAGUCUAAACCAGUGCUACGCAUUGGAAAUUUCAAAUUCCAAAUUCCAAAAACCAAAUAAAUUCCAAAAACCAAAAUUCUAAAUUUCAAAACAUGUAUUUGUUUGUGAUUUAUUAUUUUGAGUAUUGUGAUUUGUUUGGAAAUUGUGAUUUGUUAUUUGGUUAUUCCACUGCGUGGCAUUGGGGUUGCGAGGUAGUCGUACUCGUUUGAUCGUGGUUGCUUUAUAUUUUUUAGUAGAACACUUUGGGAAGAGUGGCCAUAGAAGGUAACAGCCCUGUAUACGAAAAAAAAUAUAAAGUUAAUUUUAUACGGCUUGCAUAAACCACUUUGUGGGAUAUGCGUAGUGAAAGCGAGGCUUAACCGCCGAAUUUGUCGUAUGAAUUAGACCCGAAGCCAGGCGAGCUACGCAUGAGCAGGGUGAACCCCAAGUAACAUUGGGGGGAGGCCCGAACCCACUGAUCGUUCAACUUCAGGGGAUGACUUGUGCGUAGGGGAGAAAUUCCAAUCGAGCUUGGCGAUAGCUGGUUCUCUCCGAAAUAGCUUUAGGGCUAGCGUUCGGGAAAUGAGCAA
rnacentral:rRNA from 1 species